CUUCUUUUAGAAGGUUUUAUGUUUUUUACUCUCUCUCUCUUUCAUGUCUUCUCGAUCUGCUCUGAAGAAGAGUUUCUGUUCUGAAGAAAUCCAACCAGCUGAAAGCAUCAAUCUGGGUUUUUAGGUCAUCUGUGAGAUUCAGAAGCAUCGAUCUGAUAAUCAGUUCUCUAUGGAGAAAAAGGAAGAUGAGAAAGCAAAUAAGAUAACUUUUAGGAGCGUCCCAGAAUUUAGAGGGCUAUU